rnacentral:rRNA from 1 species
UACGUAGGGGGCGAGCGUUAUCCGGAAUUAUUGGGCGUAAAGGGUUCGCAGGCGGCCUUGUAAGUCAGAUGUGAAAGACAGCGGCUUAACCGUUGUAAGCAUUUGAAACUGCAGGGCUUGAGUACAGGAGAGGAAAGCGGAAUUCCUAGUGUAGCGGUGAAAUGCGUAGAUAUUAGGAGGAACACCAGUGGCGAAGGCGGCUUUCUGGACUGAUACUGACGCUGAGGAACGAAAGCGUGGGGAGCAAACAGGAUUAGAUACCCCCGUAGUCUCU